CACAGCCUUGCUUGGUCCCCAUUUCCUUGAGAAGCCCCUUCCGGAGAGUUUUCUGUGUUUUGCCCCUCAGGGAACAUGGCCACAUCCCAAACUGGCUCCCCAGCAGCUCCAGGCUGGACUGUGGAAGCAGAAACCCUCCUGGCAGGCAAGCAGACACCACAACCGCCUAAGCCGAUCGAAUGCCUGCUGCACUGCUGAAGAGGAAACAGAGUCGUGGCCUCCGGGAGGGGGCUCAAACCUGUGACUGGUGCAUGUUCGCCAUUAGACACACUGGCUGGUGACCAGCAGCCCCACCUACAGAAUUCCCUGGAAUGAGGAAUGGCAUUCCUGAGACCACUCAGCAGAGACUACCUCAAAAGGCGCUGCUCAAUGCCAGGAAAUGCAGCGAGAGAAAAUCCCCUUCCGGUGCCACCUCUGUGGCCAGCACACAGGUCCCCUGCUCAGCGGGUGUGUGUAGACGUGCCCUCAGGAAGCUCAGCCCAAGGCCCUCUGGAAGUGGCCACAGCUGGACCACACGGAACUCAUCCACUGCUUCUUUGGAGCUCCAGGAAAGCGCCAGAAGAGGGGCACUGAGGCAGAGGGAAAGCUAAGCAGCCUGUGGCUCAGGGGACUACCUUGCAACUGCUUGAAUGUAAAGCAGGCAGAGAAAUCCUCCUGGGAACCUGAGGCCAGGUGUAUGAGUGGGAUUUAAGAGAGGCCAGCGCCCCUUCCGGGGUGGCCCCAGCCCAGGAGGAGGGCGUGAGAGGCACACCUGGGAAGUGUCAGAGCCUGACAGGCGUGAGCUGGAGGCCUGGCAGGAGAGUGCUCUCACCACCUGACCAUCCUGGAAAGCUGUCAAAGUCCCAGUGCCCAUGCCACACCCCACAACAAUCCAAUCAAACUCUUUGGAGGUAGGACCCAGGCGUCUCUGAUUUUUAAAAUUUCCAGGUAAUUAAAAUAUUCAGCCAUGCUUGAGAACCAGUGCUUUAAAGAG
rnacentral:lncRNA from 10 species